CCCCUCUCAGGGUCACACCUGGAGAGUUUCCAGUACUCUACCAGUCACGACUAUAGGUGGGAAAAUGAAGCAGAGGCCUAUCCAUUCCAUUCCUGGCUUGGGCAGUGGCUAGUGAGUGGAAGGCAAUCUCCUACAAGU
rnacentral:snoRNA from 2 species